GCCAACGUGGCUCAAUGGUAGAGCAGCUGAUUUGUAAUCAGCAGGUUGGGGGUUCGAUUCCCUUCGUUGGCUCCA
rnacentral:tRNA from 1 species